rnacentral:rRNA from 1 species
UUGGAUACUGGAAUAAACGAUUUUACAUUUUUGAUUUAUUUUUAACAUAUUUAUAAAAUUUAGAGUUUAGGUAAAAAUACCUAAGUGUAUAAAAAAGACGAUAAGACCCUAAAAGCUUAAUUUAGAAAAAUUAACUUAAAUUUUUAAAAUUUUUUACUGGGGUAGUAAUUUGAUUUAUUUUAAUAAAUAAAACUUUUAGAUUAAUUAUUCUUUUUUAUAAGGAUAAAAAUAAGUUACUUUAGGGAUAACAGCGUAAUAAUAUUGGGAAGAACAUAUUUAUAAUAUUGAUUGCGACCUCGAUGUUGAAUUAACAAAUCUUUUUAAAGCAGUUUUUAUAAAAGAAGGUUUGUUCAACCUUUAAU